GAUGAACGCUAGCUACAGGCUUAACACAUGCAAGUCGAGGGGCAGCGGGAUUUAAGCUUGCUUCAAUUGCCGGCGACCGGCGCCCGGGUGAGUAACGCUUAUCCAACCUUCCGUACACUCAGGGAUAGCCUUUCGAAAGAUAGAUUAAUACCUGAUGUUAUGAUGAGAUUGCAUGAUAUCAUCAUUAAAGAUUUAUCUGUGUACGAUGGGGAUGCGUUCCAUUAGGUAGUAGGCGGGGUAACGGCCCACCUAGCCAACGAUGGAUAGGGGUUCUGAGAGGAAGGUCCCCCACAGUGGAACUGAGACACGGUCCAAACUCCUACGGGAGGCAGCAGUGAGGAAUAUUGGUAAAUGGACGAGAGUCUGAACCAGCCAAGUAGCGUGAAGGAUGAAGGUCCUACGGAUUGUAAACUUCUUUUAUAAGGGAAUAAACCCUCCCACGUGUGGGAGCUUGUAUGUACCUUAUGAAUAAGCAUCGGCUAACUCCGUG
rnacentral:rRNA from 1 species